CUAGAUGAUCAUUGUGGUCCUUUUCAACCCAGGCCAUUGUAUGAUUCUUUGAUUCCCAUGAGAUUAUUUGUUGGGUAAGUUUCUGGUUUAGCAAACUAUGUAACACAAAGCUGGACAUAAGAUAGUAGCUGUACAUUUUAACAAGUUGGAGGGCAGCAGAAAUAAGACUAGACCUAAGUAGCAUAAAUUAAUGUCUUUUGGAAUUUUGCUGUCAUACAAAGAACAAGCAGCUUAGUUUAAGAGUGGGUUAUGAAUCUUUUGAAAGAAGGAUGUUAUGAAUGUGCAAUCAUAAAGUGAGCGGCAUUGCUUUUCUAUGUGCUUUUAUAGUAUCUCGUGGCUUACUCUAUCAUGUAAUUUACAUUACAUAAUACUUAAUGAUCCCAGAAUACUAAUUCUAUGAAGAUAUUGCUGUUUAUUGAAAUACAUGAUCCAGAGUGUUACUGAGGGUGAUGUCAGCUAAUUCCCACUGCCUGAUUUCUGAAGAAAAUGAUUUUAGGGACCGUUUGUAUUUAAAAAAAAAAAAACAACUACCCCCAACUGUCUUGCUGGUUGUGCCUUGCAGCGUGUCCUAUUCUAUUUAGCAAAUAACUAACUAUUUUGCAAAAUGAUUGAAAGAUGACCAAAGGAGAGGAUUAAAGAAGAGCACUGGGAGUUUAAAAAACUUUUGAUUCUGUGCUGUCAUUUCAGUUUUUCACUGUAUUCCCUCCAACAGCUUAAACAACUGCUGUAGAUGAACCAACGUGAGGAGAUGGAACCAGUAUUAGGAAGGCACACUGCUUUGACAAAGCUGGAAGUAAAAACAACAGCAGGAGGGACACAGACCAGCCUUGCAAUCAGAGUGUUUACAGAGAGACGGAGGACAGAAGGUAAGUAUCAAUUGUGCAGUGCUUCCAUGAAUAAUUAGUUUAGUGUGCUUUUUUUUUUUUUAUUAGCAAAUUGCCUGUAAAAUCAUAGUAUCUCUUCUUUGCAGAAUUUAUUUUCCUGAAAAUUUUCUGCUGCACAUUCUGAAAUACAUUUUUCCCCUUCAUUGUUCUAAGAAUUUUGGGUCUGAGCUUUGCCAAACAGAUCCUCACUCUGCAUUUUGAAUCUGACGCCCCAAGGGCUUUGUAUUUUCCCUGUGUCCAUCUGCUGUCAGGAGGAGUUUCAGCUAGUGUUUGGACUUGCAUAUUAUGUCAUGUGGAGAAACAAAUUAGCAGGUAUUCAUUUAGAGAUUUGAUCAACAUCCUCCACGGUAUGCUAGACUUCCAUCCAUUAGAUGUCUACUUACCAAAUAAUGGAAUAACUCUCUGCAUCUGCUGCUAAUUUGGAUCCUUUACCAUUCAUGCAGUAAGUUUAUUCAGUCACUUAUAAAAAUUAUCAGAUAUUCUUUCCUUUUUGUCAUGAAUUCUUUUUGUCAAAUGACCAGGUAUAACAUUUUCUUAUGAGAUGAUUGAAGUCUAUCAUCUGUUUGUAAAUUUUCAGUAUCUGAGAGUUCAAACUGAAAAAAAAAGCUGUUUGCCUGAAUGAUAGGAAACAUAAUUUUUUCUCAUGGUUUUCAGUUACUGAUUUGAUAGCUCAGCAUACUUGAAAAUUAAAGUAAUGUGGUUUAAGAGCUGAGAGUGUGAAGAGUCCACCAGAAAAGUCAUCUCAACCAUUUAACCCACCAUAAUUCCACUCCCUGUUGUGGUAUUUUAAGUUCCUAAGUCAUUGCAUGAUUACUAAGAUACCUUGGGUUACUUUAAAGGUUUGCUGAAAACUGGUUCCAUCACUGCAGAGAUCAGGUUGCUGAAGUUCUUAAUCCAACUGCGGGUGCUUCAUGCAUUUUAUUUUCAUAAUGGCAUUUUCUUAACCAAGAAAGAAAUAUACAUACAAGUGUUGCUAGCCUUUUCUACUUCACAAUCACUUUUUACAGUACCAUAAAACAAACCACCACUGUGUCGUUUUUUUUCUUACAGAAAAGUAUUCUCAAGAACUAUGCCUACCCAAUAUACUUACUCUUUAUAACCAUGUAUGCUGACUCUUUCUUUCAUGAAAGGUUUUGGGUUUUGUUUUUUUUUUCUGUAGACAGCUAUUACUUGCAGUGAGAGAGCGAUGGCAAAUUACUAGAACUGGAGCAAGCUUCAGAAAUACUAAAGAUGAUGGUUCUUCAGGGAUGGAACAAGCAGAUUUACAGAAAUAAAAAUUACAGUAAGAACACACAAAUGUUGCCCUGGAUUAGAUCAGAAUACGGAAUCAUUCAACAUCUUGUCUCUAGCAGAGGUCAAUACUGGAUGUCUAGGGGAAAGUUAAAGAGAGGGCAAACACAUGGCAGAGAUCUUUAAUGCUUCGUUGGUAUCCAGCACAUUUCAAAUCAAGGACUUACUGAACCAGAAGUCUUGUCUCUGUAGUUAGUAGACCUCAAUAGAUUACAGCCUUCCAUGACUUAACGGGAGCUGCAGGAAGGAGACUGGCUUUUACACAGACAGAUAGUGAUAGAAUCAUAGAAUCACCAAGGUUGGAAACCAUCCAGACCAACCAUCCACCUACCACCAAUAUUUCCCCACUAAACCAUGUCUCUUAGUAUAACAUCUAAAUAUUUCUUGAAUGCCUCAAGGGAUGGUGUCUCCACCCCCUCCCUGGGCAGCUCAUUACAGUGUCUGACCACUGUUAUGGAGAAUAAAUUUUUCCUAAUGUCCAACCUGACUCUUCCCUGGCACAACUUGAGGCCAUUCACUCUAAUCGUAUUACGAAUUAUGCAGGAGAAGAGGCCGACCCCCACCUCACCACAAUCUCCUUUCAGGAAGUUAUAGAAAGCAGUAAGAUCUCCCCUGAGCUUCCUCUUCUCCAGACUAAGCAAUUCCUAUUCUCUUAACUGCUCUUCAUAAGACUUGUUUUCCAGACCCCUCACCAGCUUUGUUGCUCUUCUUUGGAUGCACUCCAGGUUCUCGAUGUCUUUCUUGUACUGAGGAGCCCAGGUCAGCAGGUAAUGCUUUUAAACUAAAUGAGGAGAGAUUUAGAUUAAAUAUUGGAAGGAAUUGUUUUACUCAGAGAGUUUUGAGGCACUGGCACAGGUUGCCCAGAGAAGCUGGGGAAGUGCCAUCCCUGGUGUUCAAGGCCAGGGUGGUUGAGUCCUUGGGUAGCCUGAUAUUUAGUGGAUGGCAACUCUGCCUACAGCAGGGAGGUUGGAACUAGAUGAACUUUAAGGUCCUUCAAUCCUGAAUCAUUCCACAGUUCUGUCAUUCUAACAUUCUAUCACUGUUUUAUGAACUAUGUUCUACAUCAACAUCUCAGAUUGUCAUCCAAUCUCUCACCAGAGCUGGUGGCAAGAAAAAACCAAUUCCACGAUAUGAUUCCCCUAAUUUAUUUUAGUUAGUGACCUAGGGAUGAGGAAAUAGUUGUCCAAAAAAGUACCAGUUUAUUUCCAGAAGAAAGAAAAGUAGGUAACUCAGUGAAGUUAAGAAAUUGAUUAUGACUCACAUUACAGAUCUUAACGAUGGUAUAUCUUCAUGUGAACUAUUCUUUGGUUCACUCAUCUGAAUACAGUCAUUUGAGAUUACAUAUCUUGCCUUCAGUGUCUUCCAAAAGUGUGUAGGCCUUGUCCCAAAGGACUGGUUCCAUACUUGCCAGCCCUGUGAAGAUGCCUCAAAUAUCCCAGAUAUCCCUAUCUCAAAAAGCACUAGAUGUUUAAGAGACUGAAUUGAGCCCAGAGUAUCUAACUGAUAAUUGAGAAAGAUGAAUUCAAUGCAGAGAAUGAAGCCUGAAGGUGAUGACUUGAGCUUGACUCAACUGGUCCAAACACUGGUGAUUACUGAGAUGCAUUAGGAUGCCUAAGUUAUCUGCAGAGGCUUGGUAGGUGUGACAUAGGACCUUCAAGAGAUGAACAGUCAUUCAACAGAUGAAUGGCAGCUGGGAGCAAGGCAGAAUAACAUAAAGCAAAUUAUAGUAAACAAUGGCAGGAGACUGGAGUGACCUUCCAGAACCAGGAAGUCUGAACUGUACUGCAAGGUUCAUUGAGUGCAGGGAUUUAUAACCUGUUGCCAAACACUGCCAAUUUAAGCUAUUUGAGAUUCCUUAGAUUUUCUGAGCCAUUCCAGUGGGAGAGGUGUGUAUAAGACAGAACGUAGAAAAGAUCUCUGCCCCUCCUAGUGCAGAAGCUGAAGGCUAGAUGUGGUACGUAGUGCAUCUCAAAUAAUGCUAAUUAUCCACAUGGGGAACAGAGCAGGCUGCUUCUGUGUGAGGAAAAAAAAGGCCGAACUUGCAGAAGGGAAGAACUGAAAAUGAGGAUUGCUUGAAGAAACUAAACAUUUGGUGAAGUUUGUUUGUUUUUCCAUUAAAAUAAAAGCAUGGGCAAACUAAGUUAGUCUUAAAUAGGAAAGUCUUGGAUAUGUUUAGGAGAAGGUAUUGCAAUAAAUAUAUAUCUACAUUUACACAAUGCAAGGUUACUGAUACUGGGUCUUAAGGAGAAUUUUGGCAACAGGUAAAUCAGUGUAGUUUCAUAAUGAUUUAUUUAGUGCAGUUUUUUUUUUUUCUUCUCUCUUUAGUCAUUUACCAUUGCUGAAAUUAAAAUAUAUUCUUAAAAUCUACUUGUUUCAACUACUAAAUUCUGGAACUGAUAAUACAUCAGAAAAUAAGCUAAAACAAUUAAAAAUUUUUUUAAUUAAGAGACAAUUUAUUAGCUGAAGGAAUGUUUUAUAUUUUAAGGUUCACACUUUUUUUUUUUAGCAUCUAAGGAUCCCUGUAAAUAACAGAGUAUGUUGCAAUAUCUAUUAAUGAAAGCUACAGAAUAAUAUUGAAGAGACUCAAAGCUUGAUACAAAACCAGAAACAGACUUAACUUACAGUUUGUUCCAUUGAAAAAAAUAUCCUAUCUUUUAACUCAGAGUUUUCUCCAUAUCUUCCUUCAAUACUCACAAAAGUGGUAUAGAAGAAACCAUACACAUAUAGAGGAUAAAGGCUGGGAUUGUCAGAAAAAAUAUCCUGUCAUUUCCAAUCAGAUUUAGUUUGUGUAUUAUGGUAGAGUUUUGCAAGAAAAACAAAGAAGCUGUCCUCACAUCUAAUGACUUCCUGAUGUUCAGAAUCCCCUUUGGAAUAAUAAUUACAUCCCUAUAUGUGUACUGAUGUAUCUCUGUUCUGCCUGCUCUCACUCUUGUGCCUGCAUCGUGAAAUGUUACCUGUGAUUUAUGCCAAACACUUAUAUAUCUCUGUGCUGUAUUGGUGGUUGCACAUUGGGCGUCCCACAGUUUCUGCCUCUGCUCCUGGGCCCUGCUGAAUUCCAGGCCAUUUUCAUGCAAGAUUGUAAGGUAUGUUCAGGAGACCAGGGGAGUUUUGGGGGCAGGGAUCAAUUGCUGGUAAUUGAAUUGUGCUCUGUCUCAGGACGCACUUGGCUGAUCAAAGAGUGUGCCACUGUUUAUUUAUAUCCAGACACAUACCCUUGGGUGAAUUCUCCCCACAAGCUUUGUGUGCGUAUAUGAAUAUUGCAACUGUAUACCUGAAAACACUUUGGCUAUUAAUAAAAGUCUUUCAGGCUCUUAUAAAAUGCUGUAAAACAAGCUCCUUCAUUUAGAAUGGGAAUAUCAAUGGAACCAGUAAUGUCUGUUAUAUUGAAAUUACAUUCAAAUCUACUUGAAUGUUUUUGAUUUUUAUACUUCCUUGAACAACUUAAUGAAAAAUGUAGACUAGCUUUGGGCUACACAUGGCAUUCAAUUCUUAAUUAUAAUCAGCUCUUAUUUUUACUGCUCCUAUAUUUAUUUUGUUUUGUUUGUUUGUUUGCUUUGUAAUAUUAUCUAGAAAUCUUUCUAACAUGUUUGAAUGGCCAUCUCCCUCGUGUCAUUUCACUUUUUUACCAGUAUAGUGUUAUCUGGUUCUGAGCAUGUAAAUUCCAAGAAUGUAAAUUCCAAGGAGAGAACAUCACUGUAUAGGAUUAGAGUCAACAUAGAAACAUGAGGUUUUGUUUCCUUUAGCUAAAUGAAUUGGCCUUUAGAAACCCACACUGAUACGUUCCUGAAUUUAUUUCUGGUGGGAGGAUGGAAGUCCUAAAAUAGAUGCUAGGCAUUUCUAAUACUUCAAGGAUUCAUGAAAAAUACGAAGGAAGUGGGCAUGUGAGGAAUCAGCUAGAAAUUGUUCUUGGCAUUUCUUAACAUUUUUCUCCACAAUAGUGGUGUAUCAAAAUAACAGUCAACUGUGCUGUAUCAGGAAUUGUGUGUAACUUGGUAACAAGACCUCUGGUCAGACAACAUCAUAUGGUGAAUUUAUUUUUGGUCAGAUAUGCUACAGAGUUCUGAAUAAACACCUCCAGCAAGAGUAAGAAAGCAGUGACAUUGUAUAGCGCGUAUAUUAUAUGUCACAUUUUGUUUGAUUUGGCCUUUAUGUCUCUCACCCUGUAAUUGCUUUCUGCUUUUGGUUUGGUGAUGAUCCAGGUUACAUAAAGAAUGACUGGAAACAUUUGGACAAUCUCCCAGUGACUGAAAGAUAUUCAGGUUACAGCGGCAUGUGACAUAACUGCAUCAGUGGUGGUGUAACUGUUAGUAGACAAGGGAAGAGCCACUGAUGUCAUCUAUCUGGACUUCAUUAAGACUUUUGACACAGUCCCUUGUAAAAUCCUUCUCUCGAAAUUGGAAAGAUGUGGAUUUGACAAGUGGACUAUUCAGUGAAUGAAGAACUGGUUAUGAAAUUGUAUCCAGAGAGUUGUGUUCAAUGGCUCAGUGUCUGGAUGGAGACCAGUGAUGAGUGGUGUCCCUUGGGUGUCAGUACUGGGACCAGUGCUCUUUA